rnacentral:lncRNA from 1 species
UGGGACCAACACUCAUGGGGAGCACUGGCCCGGGUUGUUAAUUAAAUUCCUCGGGGUAGCUAUUCCCUAUGCAGAUUAUUAUGUGAUAAGCAGUUUAAAACCAAAGUUGGGUCCUGCCAGACAAGCCUUAACACUACGCGAUUUAUCAAGGGGGUCCCCAUAACAACCCCGAACGUGUUAGGAGCGAUCAAUAUGGAAUCAAACACCGGUAACCGGCAACUAAGGCGGCAAUAACGGAACAAGACACCCGGCAAAAGGCUAGGCCUCCCGUCAUUUACCAAGUAUAUAGAUACAUUAAUUAAAUAACAGAAAUUAAUAUAAUGAUAUCAAUCUCAUGUCAUCACAUGAGUUUAAAUCACCUGCAACUAACAACGCUAACGUUAGUAGCUGAGCAAGCCUACCUAGCCAUGCAAGUUUGCUAGGAAAGAGUAAGGUGUUUAGGCUCAUGGCAUAUGAAGAGGCAAUAUAUUUUCAGUGAUAGGCAGCGAGCAAUAUGACGUGGAAUCUAAACUAACAUAACAAGUCUAGUUAUGGGAUCAAGGUCAUGUCAUCUUGCCUGUGAUAUCCUCAGCUUGGAAUGGUUCUGGAUCGUCCUGCACGUACUCUCCUGACUCCACAUAAUCGGUCUCCGC